rnacentral:rRNA from 1 species
UACGAAGGGGGCUAGCGUUGUUCGGAAUUACUGGGCGUAAAGCGUAUGCAGGCGGACUUUUAAGUCGGGGGUGAAAUCCCGAGGCUCAACCUCGGAACUGCCUUCGAUACUGGAAGUCUUGAGUCCGGGAGAGGUGAGUGGAACUCCGAGUGUAGAGGUGAAAUGCGUAGAUAUCUGGAGGAACACCGGUGGCGAAGGCGGCAUCCUGGACCGGUAUUGACGCUGAGGCGCGAAAGCCAGGGGAGCAAACGGG